UCCUUCAUUUUUCAUCAUGGUCAGAUCAUUGAAUCUCGGAUCGUCUCAAUAGUGUUCGGCUCGGUGUUGGAAGCAAUUUCGGCCCGAUUAUUUUGUAGGCACAAACUUCGACAUGUCAUUCCCCCUUGAACUAGAACCUGAAAUAUAUGGUGAUGAUACGCGUGAUCGGGAAUUCAGCGAAAGAACACCAAAUUUGGGAAAUCAACAUGAUAGCUGUGCGGUGAUGGUUGUAAUAUUGACAGUCUGAGGCAUGGUGUGGCUGAGGUUCUUUUCGGUAUCGUGAGCUCGAAGGUUAGUGUUACAGUUAUGACCACAAAUGUAUGAUUAGAUGCUAUGGAUGCAUGUAGAUGCAUAUGGUUCGGAUCACAUCUCAACGCUAUAAUCUCAUGCCAAUAGGGGGUAAGGUAUUGGCUAAUCCCACUCGGUGGUAGGUCGCAGAGGGCUACUACAUCCGGAUACAACGUACUGUAUCCUAAGAGGGCACAACAUGGUACGACAUACUAUACGCAUGACUGUCGGACAGCAUGGGAGACCGAUGAUGGUGUGGGAUUUCGGAAAUAUGGUUGUCAAGGGUUACUACUAUUUAGGGGUUAGCUGGGUGAUCGAGGUUCUUUCCGAGACUGGUUGACUUGUGCUUGCAACUAGCUUGUAUCUCUAAGGCCAAAUGUACAGGGUAGGGGAUACUACCUAAGUUGCUUAUAACACUUAUACCCACAUAUUAAGACCUAGUAAUUAGAAUGGAAUUUAAAUUAAUAAACAGAUCAUAUGGCUGUGCUUCUGUGGA